AACGUAGGAGGCAAGCGUUAUCCGGAUUUACUGGGCGUAAAGCGCGUGUAGGUGGAUUGGUAAGUUACUUAUAAAAGCUCCUGGCUAAACUAGGAGAGGUUGGGUGAUACUGCCAGUCUUGAAUAGAGGAGAGGUUGACGGAAUUCCGCGUGUAGUGGUGAAAUGCGUAGAGAUGCGGAAGAACACCAGUGGCGAAGGCGGUCAACUGGCCUCAUAUUGACACUCAGACGCGAAGGCAUGGGUAGCGAACGGG
rnacentral:rRNA from 1 species